UUGACCUCAAAUCAGGUAGGACCACCCGCUGAACUUAAGCAUAUCAAUAAGCGGAGGAAAAGAAACUAACAAGGAUUCCCUUAGUAACUGCGAGUGAAGAGGGAAAAGCUCAAAUUUGUAAUCUGGCAGCCUUUGGCCGUCCGAGUUGUAAUCUAGAGAAGUGCUACCUGCGCUGGACCAUGUACAAGUCUCCUGGAAUGGAGCAUCAUAGAGGGUGAGAAUCCCGUCUUUGACAUGGACUGCCAGAGCUUUAUAGGUGCGCUCUCAAAGAGUCGAGUUGUUUGGGAAUGCAGCUCAAAAUGGGUGGUAAAUGCCAUCUAAAGCUAAAUAUUGGCGAGAGACCGAUAGCGAACAAGUACCGUGAGGGAAAGAUGAAAAGAACUUUGGAAAGAGAGUUAAACAGUACGUGAAAUUGCUGAAAGGGAAACGCUUGAAGUCAGUCGCAUCAGUUGGAAAUCAACCUCGCUUUUGCUCGGUGUACUUUCCGUCUGAUGGGUCAGCAUCAAUUUUGAUCGCUGGAUAAAGUUCUUGGGAACGUGGCAUCUUUGGAUGUGUUUA
rnacentral:rRNA from 1 species